UUCUGCCCCACCUCUGCUUAGGUACAACCCACCAGCGACUGCACGCGAUAGAGGCUGCCAUGGCUGAAUCCCACCCCUCCCUUGAUGUGCCAACGAUGGAGCCAUAUAUAUGGGACCCAAGCUCCAUUGCACACACUCUCAGCCUAAGCCCGUAGCACACUCCAGCCCCCCAGGCUGCCUCCAUGCAGCCAACCCCAGUUCCUUCCCCAGGUCCGUGCUCUGAAGUCCGAGCUCCAGCACCCAGCCUCAGCACGUAUCAGGUGGUGACCACACAGAUCCUCUGCACCUGUUUCUCUCCAUUCUGUUUGUGGCUGCCGGAUUCUCCUCCGAACCUCUGAAGCUCCCCUUCUGUCCCAGCUGCCCUUCCUGCUGGAGAGGAUACUUUUCCUCUUUCACUGCUCCUUCCCAGGGCUCACGUCGCAUCCUGAUUUCUUUUUUCCUUCUACUCUCGUUUUCGUGAUGAUCUUUCCUGUAGCUUCACUUGUACACUAUCUUCUGCCAGAGCUCAGCAGGUAUUCUGUGAGAAUUGUUCCACAUGUAGAUAUAUUUCUGAUGUAUUUGUCAGAGAGGGUGAGCUCCGAACACUAAGCAUACA